AGCGAACGCUGGCGGCAGGCCUAACACAUGCAAGUCGAACGGAUCCUUCGGGAUUAGUGGCGGACGGGUGAGUAACACGUGGGAACGUGCCCUUUGGUUCGGAACAACUCAGGGGAACUUGAGCUAAUACCGGAUGUGCCCUUCGGGGGAAAGAUUUAUCGCCAUUGGAGCGGCCCGCGUCUGAUUAGCUAGUUGGUGAGGUAAAGGCUCACCAAGGCGACGAUCAGUAGCUGGUCUGAGAGGAUGAUCAGCCACAUUGGGACUGAGACACGGCCCAAACUCCUACGGGAGGCAGCAGUGGGGAAUCUUGCGCAAUGGGCGAAAGCCUGACGCAGCCAUGCCGCGUGAAUGAUGAAGGUCUUAGGAUUGUAAAAUUCUUUCACCGGGGAGGAUAAUGACGGUACCCGGAGAAGACGCCCCGGCUAACUUCGUGCCAGCAGCCGCCGUAA
rnacentral:rRNA from 1 species